AGAAGCAGCAGCAGUAUGCAAUCUUUGAUUCACUGCUGCAGAUAGAGUUGCCCUCUUAUUUUUUGCUACCAAGCAGUGUUUUGCUGGCCAAUUGCAAUGCAUGUCAGCAGCAAAAAAGGUGACAUCUGUUCCAGCAGCUGUAAGCCUUUGGCCACUGCUUUUGUACCCUACGCUGCCUGCACCCUGGGUGCAGAACCAGCCAGCAGUAACUUAUCUAAGAUGCUUCCCUAGGCAGUAUUCUGUCAGAGAAAGAGGUCAGGAAAUCCCUCUGGCUGAGAGUGUUUGCUAAGUGAUGUGGCAGUUUCUUGGGUGAGUCCAAUUGCAAUAAAGCAUUCUCAGUCCUCAUGUGACCUGCUGGGAGAUAUUACCACUGGGUUCCAACUACCCUGAGGCUCAGAGUUUCUAUACCGGAGAUAAUCUGGACCCUAUGGAGACUGGGAAGCUAACAGGUGCCUUACAGAAGGAAAGAGGAAAGUAUGUGAAAGAUAUAUUCUUUGCUCCAGCAGAACAGAUGUAUCCUGAUCAUCCUCCUUAGAGACCCCUAUGCAAGAUACCUUCUAUGAAUGGAGCUGUCCCAUCUGGUGCUUCCUACAUUGUCCUCCCCCCUCCCCACCUCUAAAUGCCAUGGAGGAGUCUCUCUGGUACUGGGAAUCUGCUUGACUUAAGCAAGGCUUUUGACACUGUCUCCUGUGACAUUUUCAUGAAUAAGCUAAGGAACUACAGACCAGAUGAAUAUCCUGUGAGCUGGUUAGAAAACUGGUUGGAUCAUCAUACUCAGUGAGCAUUCUCCCUCCCUGUUGAUUAACAAUGAACAUCUCCAGUCCAAGCACCCAGCUGAGACAGCAUGAACCCCAGGACUUCAUGGCAUUCACCCCUGUCUCUGUCAUCAGGGGUAUGUCAAAGAAUUCUGACUCCCUGCCCAUGAUUUCAAUCAUUGUGGCCAUUUUUGUCCUUGUGGCCAUCUUUAUUAUUGUGGUGGUGCACUAUGGCCCCCAGCUCCGGACCGCACAGAUCACACUGCACCAUGAGCCCAUGCCACAAGACCUGGAGAGUGGUGUCUACUUAACCAACUGGAAGAAGCUGGGUUCCCAGAGGAAGAGCAAUGUGCCCUCUGCUCAGGACUGCUGGAGAGACCCCGGUAGAACUGAUGGUGCUGGGCUGAGCUUUCAGUGUUCCUGUAAGCAUCACCUUCCCUGUGGGAAUGCAGAGCCUAGCGUCAUAGAAAUCACGUACCUGUGAAUGGCUGGCAGUGGGCCUGUCCAGGGGCAUGACGGGGAUGUUGAAAAAGAACAGUGUUCAGAAUUUGGGCUCUGCCAGGGACCCCCCCAGUAUUUGAACACUGUGACUUUAGCAUCUUCUGGUCGUCAAUGUUCCUCUCUUAGGCAGACUCACCUAGUAAAGUCCUGAAAUGGGACAUAUUCAGCAGAGUAACAGCACCUAAAAAAUAAUUUGUGUGGCUGCUAACACCUGUGUUGGGAACACCCAGGGGCUCUUUCAGAUGUGCUCUGCAAAGGGAACUAGGCCAAGAUCCAAACCCACCUCUCACACACCUGAGCUUGCUGGGGGAGGAGGAGCUGGGCAGGAGUCUGAAGGUACUUGAUCCUGUGCCCGUGUGUGCAGUCCAUCUAGCUGCUGCUUAGUGCUCAUUUCCAUCUGCUGAUCUAACGGGGCAAUGGCAUUGCUUGGUGCUGCUGUCAUCACACUCUUGAUGCAGUAAAUAUGCAGCCCUCAUAGCCCCCACCCCACAAGACUGUGCACAAGUAGUGGCUUCUAAACAUUUGGUGGCACUAAUGGUUGGUGUCCUAGGUAACAGCUGAGUUCCCAGCCCAGGCUUUGUGGCCAACUCCAGGCUGCCUCGGGGUUUCAGUCAGUUCCUCCUUCUGUCCGCUGUUUACCUUGGAGCUGCGUGCUGCUCUGUCUGGGAGUGGCUGAUCAUCAGGGAUGCAGCCUCUGACCCAUGCUGGCUGAAAAACAGGACUAGCAGGCCUUGGAACAGCUCCUUGGCAGAAGCUGAAAGGUGCAUUGUCCAGCCUGAAAUUACUUUCCACAUUAAGGAUUUUUUCAUGUACACUGUGUGCUCAUUGUUUUCUCACACGUGUCUUUCAGGGGCAGAGCAGCCUCCAGAGGUCUCCAAGGUUUCCCUGCUCCUAUCUCUCCCCUUUGUUCAGAUGCUGAACCACCAUUUUCACUAGCUUGGUGCUCUGCCUAUCAUGAGGUUGGGGGGGAGGGGAUUGGGUUGGCUCACUUUUGGAAGGUAUUAAAAUGCUUCCUACUGCUUGGCCCUCUCUCUCUGUUGGUGUUUCAGCAGAACGACUAAGGACUCUGUGGGCCAAGGACAUAAGACUCCCUUUCCUGCCCUGGCAUGGGACCCGCACAAGUAGCGGUGGAAGCACAGCAGCCUAGGAAAGCUGGCAUUGCCCCGUCUACACUGGCUGCAUUCAGUACUGAGAGUGGACUUUGGUCUGCAGCUGCAAACCCAUUCACUCCAGUGGUAAUAAGAUAGCAGGAAGUCUGCCACCCAACCAACCCAGCCCUUCCCAUGCCUGAGCAGGAACAUUGUCUCCCUUGGUAUGGGGUUGAAUUGACAGUACAGUUUAUGGCUUUCCCACAACUACCUCCACCUAGAAACCAGUUAUAAACAUUCAGGCUGAAGGACUGUGCUUCUCAGGCAGACACAGAAAUGACUAGCCAUGAGCAAACUGAUCUGAGAGCAGAAAAACAGGAAAGGAGUGACAGCUCUUCAGGAAAGUCAGGGCCGGCUCUCAACACAGAGACUUUCGCUCUCUGCUGGAAAUGGGGAUGUGGCCUCUCUGAGAGAAGUGCUGAGUGUAGUUGAAGGACUUGGGGAUGCAGAGCUUGUGGGGUCUUCAGUGGGAUUGAAUGAACUGUCCUAGUCAGACACACUGAAUACCUGGAGGGGGAGGGGGGAAGGGAGUAAUAUAGUGUGGGGCAGGAUCAGGCACAAAGACGUAUGUCCAAAGCAGCAGCACAGGAAGCCAAUGAUGGGUCAGUAGCUUUUAGUGCUGAUUAAUCCUCAUUCCAAUCAAUGGGGUCUGGUUGACACACCACUCACUCCUUGG